ACAGAUCAGCAUGGUGGAUUUUAUGGAGGAUUUCUACGGCUGAGGGAUAACUGCGAAUUCCCAGGUUCUCCUCUGAUGGUGUCCAUCUCACAGAGCUCUGUUAGGAAGCAGCAAGUGGACCUGGGCCGUGUGAGCACCUGCCAGGAUCUACACUCACGAAGUUCAGGACCAGAUUUCUUUUUCAGUCUGAAAUAUUCCUGUUGGGCUCAGACACUCCGUGGAGUGAAAGCAAACAUUUUGAAAAGUAAGCGAUUGUCCCAGGCCAGAAAUCCCAGAGAGUCAGUGUCUUAUUGCAGAAUCACGCCCCAUAAAUGUCUCUGAAUAGAGGCACUGGGAUACAGGAGGGAGUUCCCCAAAGCUUGGCCUUUCCUUUAUGGAACAACCCACUUCACUCAGUGUGUUCCAAGAAGAGCCACAACCUUCAGUGUGGAGCUUUGAUUUCCAUUUGUCACAGGGGAGCAGCUGGUAUGAAAGUUCA